CCUCCUACAUUUCUCAACGGAUUUUGACCAAACUUUCACAGAAGCUUUGUCAUCAAGUGCCCUGACACAUAUCGCCAGGGUUUUGCAAUUGGUGUAUAUUUGACCUAAUUAUGGCCCUUUGUUUUUUAUCCUUAUACAGAAUAUAUAGUGAACAAUUUCUUCUGUGCGCAACUCCUCCUACAUUUCUCAACGGAUUUUGACCAAACUUUCUCAGAAGCUUUGUCAUCAAGUGCCCUGACGCAUAUUGCCAGGGUUUUUGCAAUUGGUAUAUAUUUGACCUAAUUAUGGCCCUUUGUUUUUUUUUUCCUUAUAUAGAAUAUAUAGUGAACAAUUUCUUCUGUGCGCAACUCCUCCUACAUUUCUCAACGGAUUUUGACCAAACUUUCUUAGAAGCUUUGUUUAUCAAGUGCCUGGCACAUAUUGUCGGGGUUUUGUGAUUGGAUAAUAUUUGACCGAAUUAUGGCCCUUUGUAUAUUUUUUCCUUAUACAGAAUAUAUAGUGAACAAUUUCUUCUGUGCGCAACUCCUCCUACAUUUCUCAACGGAUUUUGACCAAACUUUCUUAGAAGCUUUGUUAUCAAGUGCCUGGCACAUAUUGUCGGGGUUUUGUGAUUGGAUAAUAUUUGACCGAAUUAUGGCCCUUUGUAUAUUUUUUCCUUAUACAGAAUAUAUAGUGAACAAUUUCUACAGUGCGCAACUUCAAAAAUUAAGCAAAAAUAAAGUACUGUUUACCUUUCUAAAACAUUUGGGGGAAAAAGGCGAAUAGACAAAAUAAAAUUUCUCAAUCAUUUUUGUUUGAGGAAUAUUAAAAAAGCCAUAAUUCCUCCUAAAAAUUCAAUUAAAAACAAAUGCCCCUUCAUGACAAAGCUUCUGUGAAAUAUUUUGCUGAAAACCUGGUUGCAUCGCAUUGCGAUGUUCCUUGUUAUGUUCUUUUUUACAUUUGUAGAUCUGACCACGAUUAAUAAAGUGGAUGUAAUAUGGUAGCAAAGAUUAGCUGUAAAUUUAUCUGAUUCUCUUAAGAAAGGCAAGUUUAUGCUAUUGGACCUCAGUGGAGUUACAAAGUACAUUGCUUAUUCGCACCAAUUGAGCCGCAUCAUGACAAAACCAACAGAGUGCGUUUGCGACCAGCAUGGAUCCAGACCAGCCUGCACAUAAUCAAUUUUUUAUGCCAUUUUUGGCGGAUUUGAGUGAAAAGCAUUGCAACGGUUUUCAAUUUUUGGGCCAAUUUGCACAAUAAAACUGAUUAUUUCUGGAAAAUGUAGUGACACAUCUAGUUACGGUGUACAAAAAUCUUGAAAAAAUAUUUUUGGGCCCUUCACGUCAAAAAACCUCAGUUUACAAAUGAAAAUGUUACCAGUAAAGAUGGCUCUAGAUUCAUUUCAAGGACGGCUAGAUUAUCUUUGACAAUUUUGCCGUCAUAUUUAAAUCAUCUUUUCUGUGAGUGAAUUUAAUAUCAAGGCUAAAAUUUGUAGUGUAAAAAUAAUCUUUGUGUUCAUGUCAUCUUUUUCAUGAAUAUCUUGGAAUCAGAAUCAAUUAUGAAAAAUGAUAUUCUUAUAAAUGGUAUUGAAAAU